GGAUUGUGUCUCAGUGGUAGAGCGCUCACCUAGCAUGUAUGAGACACUGGGUUCGAUCCUCAGCACCA
rnacentral:tRNA from 1 species